rnacentral:rRNA from 1 species
AUUGAACGCUGGCGGCAUGCUUUACACAUGCAAGUCGAACGGUAACAGGGUGCUUGCACCGCUGACGAGUGGCGAACGGGUGAGUAAUGCGUCGGAACGUGCCGAGUAGUGGGGGAUAACGCAGCGAAAGUUGUGCUAAUACCGCAUACGUACUGAGGUAGAAAGUGGGGGACCUUCGGGCCUCACGCUAUUCGAGCGGCCGACGUCUGAUUAGCUAGUAGGUGAGGUAAAGGCUCACCUAGGCGACGAUCAGUAGCGGGUCUGAGAGGAUGAUCCGCCACACUGGGACUGAGACACGGCCCAGGCUCCUACGGGAGGCAGCAGUGGGGAACUUUGGACAAUGGGCGAAAGCCUGAUCCAGCCAUGCCGCGUGUCUGAAGAAGGCCUUCGGGUUGUAAAGGACUUUUGUCAGGGAGGAAAUCCCUAGUGCUAAUAACACUGGGGGAUGACAGUACCUGAAGAAUAAGCACCGGCUAACUACGUGCCAGCCGCCGCAGUAAAAC